rnacentral:rRNA from 1 species
CCUACGGGUGGCAGCAGUGAGGAAUAUUGGUCAAUGGUCGGGAGACUGAACCAGCCAAGCCGCGUGAGGGAUGAAGGUACUGUGUGUUGUAAACCCCUUUUGUCCGGGAACAAAGGCGGGGACGUGUCGACGGUUGAGUGUACCUGAAGAAUACGCAUCGGCUAAUUCCGUGCCCGCAGCCGCGGUAAUACGGAGGAUGCGGGCGUUAUCCGGCUUUAUUGGGUUUAAAGGGUGGGCAGGCGGGUCGUUAAGUGAGCCGUGAAAGUCUGUGGCUCAACCACGGGCGGGCGGUGGAAACUGGAAGUCUAGAGUGGGAGGGAGGCAGGCGGAAUUCGUGGUGUAGCGGUGAAAUGCAUAGAUAUCGCGCAGAACACCGAUUGCGAAGGCAGCAUGCCGGCUCCACACUGACGCUGAGGCACGAAAGCGUGGGUAUCGAACAGGAUUAGAUACCCGAGUAGUC